rnacentral:rRNA from 1 species
CCCGCUGAACUUAAGCAUAUCAAUAAGCGGAGGAAAAGAAACUAACAAGGAUUCCCCUAGUAACUGCGAGUGAACCGGGAAAAGCUCAAAUUUUGAAUCUGGCGGUCUUCAGGCCGUCCGAGUUGUAAUCUAGAGAAGCGUCUUCCGCGCUGGACCGUGUAUAAGUUUCCUGGAAUGGAACGUCGUAGAGGGUGAGAAUCCCGUCUUUGACACGGACUGCCAGGGCUAUGUGAUGCGCUCUCGACGAGUCGAGUUGUUUGGGAAUGCAGCUCAAAUAGGGUGGUAAAUUCCAUCUAAAGCUAAAUACAGGCGAGAGACCGAUAGCGAACAAGUACCGUGAGGGAAAGAUGAAAAGCACUUUGGAAAGAGAGUUAAACAGUAUGUGAAAUUGUUGAAAGGGAAACGAUGGAGGUCAGUCGUGUCUGUGGGAUUCAGCCGUCUCUGGCGGUGUACUUCCCACAGACGGGUCAACAUCAGUUUUGGUCGGCGGAUAAAGGCAGGAGGAAGGUGGCACCCUCGGGUGUGUUAUAGCCUCUUGUUGCAUACGCUGGCUGAGACUGAGGAAUGCAGCUCGCCUUUAUGGCCGGGGUUCGCCCACGUUCGAGCUUAGGAUGUUGACAUAAUGGCCUUCAACGACCCGUCUUGAAACACGG